rnacentral:snoRNA from 1 species
GCUGUCUGUGAUGUUAUUCUAAUUACCUUACCAACCUUGUUUGAAUUUCUUCUUGAAAAGAAAUUGUGUCUGAGACAUGC